rnacentral:pre_miRNA from 1 species
CUCUAGAGGGAAGCACUUUCUCUUGUCUAAAAGAAAAGAAAGCGCUUCUCUUUAGAGGA